CGAUUCCUCACUUCAGUAUCGCUCGGUCUCUCGUCGGAGCGUGUUGCAGUAAUAUUUGUAUCCGUGCGGAUCAACGUUGAACGCGGUGAUUUCCGUAUCAGAUUGAAAAUCACGUAUUGCGAAUUUUGUGUUGUGCUGAUUGCGCCAUCACUGAAAAUCCUCCCGCAUUAAAGUAUUAUCAAUAUUUCUCACGGAUUCGCUCAUUCGUAUCAGUUAUUGGCGAACAGCGCGCGUGAAUCCUUCAUUGGAAACGCAGGACAUUCGAUGCACAUACGUGUCAACGUGUGAUUCCUUUCUGCUGCCUUGUGUCGGUGUAUCGGAGUUGGCGCCAACUUUACAGUGAAGCGGAUCGUGCACGGUAGUGGCUUUCAGGGGCGCCGAUCAACAAGUAGUUCAUACGUGUCGCGUUUGCGGACACAACGUCGUUCACACGAUUCUCUCGCGUCAAAGUGCGUUUAUGAAUACGCGAGCUACUGAACGGCAACUACAUUUCGCUACAAUCAGCCUCCUCCUCAUCUUGCCCUCGAACAAUUCAGCGGAAACGACAUUUUCCCAUCGAUUCGCAAUAAUUCGCCGCUGCUUAUUGUGCAAAUAAGUACCUUAGGUUAAUUUAAACGUUUUUUUGGCGGAGAAGAGACACUUUCUACGUUUUGCAGUGAGCAAAUGUGGUGCCACAAAAAUUAAUUGUGAAAAUAGAGGGAAUAUCAAGGGGACACGGACGCAUUUCACGCGUCAUACUUUCCGCAGCGCUGGAAAUUGGCUGUGAAGUGAACAAUUAUCACGGUGUGAUAAGCAGCAAUCUUUGCUUCAUUUCGCAGUGGGCUAUCGCGGAACAUUCCGUUGUGCGCUGAACGAUGCCGCAUACAAUCGAGCGACGACGUAACCGAAUGGAAACGCUCGAAGAACCCUGAAUCGCAUUAUCGGCGUGUCGGCGGUCAUCAUCGAUCGUUCCAUGCCCAGGGAUCCAUCGACCUCGAACGGAAACGCGUUCCGUGGUUACCGCGUCCGGUUGCCGUGAUCGGUUCCCGAUAGCGAGGCGAUCGAUUUCGCGCCGGCUGAUUCGCGCGUAUGUGAGAGUGAAAUCGAGAGACCGAAUGCAAACAGUUCGCGAAGAUGUGACCCGUCGUUCCUCCUGCGGUGCGACGAACCGAAUGACUCGUCGAUGUGGCGAGGCGUCGGCGUGUCCACGAAAUCGCCAUAAUCGCAGGGGUGGAGGUGGACAGAGGUGCGGCGGACGCCGCCUGUACCGGCAGCAGGCUCUAUAAGGUGGCGGUGACGUCAAUGCACAUUUGCGCGCGAAUCUUCGCGUGGGCAUGGACCUUUUCCUCGGUAGCGCAGCGUACCCGAUGCAGCAGUCUGUGGGAAUAGAAGUGCGGGUGACGAAUGAGAUCCCCGUCCUCUCGACGGAAACAAACGUCGUCCGAGAUGCAGCACAACCUUGGACUACUACAUCGGCUCCAAGUCAAACCACCCCGCCAACCCCUACAAAUCCACAGUUACACUACUUGUCGCCACACGUUCUUCAUGGGCGGAACUCGCUUUGUUCCGCAAAUGAUUACACACGGAGAAGGCGACCUAUGACACUCCGCAUUGGUCCUCGCCUGAGUCUUCCUAGCAGGAGCACAUCCGCGCCAACCACAACCACAGACGGGGAAUGGCGUGCACUUAGCGAGAGCGGACCGCAUCCUGGAAUACCGGGAUACGGUAAUGUGCCCGGUGGUCAUCUCUGGGGGAAAAGAAAUCAGGGACGCACCUCGGCGCCGGUGGUCGGUCACGCGAGACCACCCGCUAUAAUUCUCAGGACGAGAAGGAGCUGGCCUGUCGCGCCUACACAUUGCCGAAGGUAAGUCUCAAAUGUGUCAUGUCAUGAUAGUCUGACGAUGCGAUUCAAUGAUUUCGACGAUACGAGGUAAGAUCAUUAAAUAUUGAAUAUACUUGCGUUCAAUAUUUGAUAUCUGUACAUGAAAUAGUCCAACUGCAUUUUUUCUAUAAUUAUUUUAUGAAAUCAAUAUAUCAGAAUUAUCGAUUAUUGUAAUUUCCUGAUGAAAUUAACUUUUAAUAGUUAAUUAACUGAAAAUUAAUUAAUGGUCUACGUCUGUGUCUUCUUAUUCUUGACUAGAAAAAGACCGAAGAAAAAAGAAGGAAUAAAUGUUUCUCACGAAUAAUUCAGCAAAGCGGGAUAAACCUACAGGCUUUACUUCGAAAAACUUUCUCAGAAAAACUUCACGUGGCGUUUUAGACGUUUUGAUAGAUAUUCUCAAUAUCGAAGUAAGACAAGAAACCAUGUUGUAUCAGAAGCUUCUUUCGUCGAUACUCUUCUUAUUUCCGAUAUCGCAAAAGUUUCUUCCAUCGGAAAUUUUGUACGUGUCUCAAAUGAAAUUAUAUAGCACUUGCAACAGUAUAGGGUCAGGAUCAGUGUGCAAUACAGGAUUUACUUUGUAUAAGUUACUGGUGCAUUUAGAUAAUUUGUAUCUUUCACUUGUUAUACGUGAGGAUCUUGAUAACUUAUGUGACAGAGAUGCAUUUGUCAAUCUAUCAAUCAUGUACCUUUAAACAAACGUUAUUUCGUUUGUGAAAUUUCUUGUACCUAAUUUCACUAAAAGUUAUAAGACGAUUGUGCGAGUUUCUCUUCGUCUUCGGUUCGUUUAAUGAACUUCGUUGAUUGCUUCUCCGUUGUACUAUCCUUGCACAAAAACAUUGCGAGCGGGAUAAUCUCUUAAAAUAAGUUCAUUAGUGCUUAAUGAAUGAAGUAGAUAUGGUCACUUGAAUAAUAUAUAACGUUUUACGACGUCAUACGACGUUUAAAAUAUUUCUUUGUUAUAUUGAUAAUCGCUAACCUGCGUUAGCUACGGAGGGUUAGAACGUUAGUGAGAAAUCGUACUUUCCAGGCAAAAGGUUAUUGAUUGGCUGCCUGUUGCUUUUAGUCCUACCGCACAGCUGCGGUUAUACACCCUUGUUCUUCUCUCCUCUGUCUUCUGUCUUUCGACCUUACUCCCCCUCGACCAGCUAAUGGAUAUCCUGUCUCCGCGUUCGCAUUUAGACGUCUUGUGUUCCUGACUUGUCCGCUAUAUAUUUCUUUUCCGUUUUUCCCGGCUCCUUCUUUCUUUUUGUUUCUGUUGGUCUUUCUCUCGUUUUUCCUACUUUUACAAAAUAAACAUUUGCGAAAACAAUAUACUGUUAUUGCAUAUUUCUCUAAAAUAGCAAUAUUCAAAACUGUUUUACACUGUCUUUUAUCAUCUGUUGUUUUACUUUAAUUUUUCAUUUUAUUAAAGUGGAUUCAUCUGAAGUUUCUUGAAUGAAAAAAUAGAGGUCUUCUCAAGAAAUUAUCAUUAUCAUCUAUUUAUUCUCUCAAUUUACUUUUGAAUGGUCUAAUUUAUCUUGCGAUCCAAAUUUGUUUUAUAUAAUAAGACAAGCUUUUAUCUCCGUGAAUAUCACUUACGCGUACCGUGUUAGGCUCAAAUGAGAAUAAAUCGUCAAGCAAAGUUAAAUUUCUUUAUCAUUAUUUAACUGUAAUUUUCCACCUAUCCAUGCGAAACCUUCUCGAUUAUUUAUGUGCUUCCAUGGAAAGAGGCGAGAUUUGAGGACGUAAGAUCGAUUCCUCGACCUAAUGGAUUACGGUAUUUCUAGCUCAUAUAUAUAUAUAUAGAUGAAACGAAAGUUAAACGCAGUAUCAAGAAAAAAACCUCUGAAUUUUUAUACGUGAUAAAACAUUCUGUCCCACUCGCUCGAUCAUCGCACUUGAUAUCUGAUAUCUGAUAUUUCGUAGAUAUCGAUGGGCAUGCUUUUUGAGAACGUUCUUCGAUAUCGUAGGAACCCUACUUUGAUUACGCGUCAGCGUCGCAUGGGAUUCCUAAAUGAACAUCGGGGUAAUUGACAGCGUAAUAACAGCAAUGGUACUCUCGGCAGUGGUUACGCGGUAAAUCUCCGCGGUGAGUUUAUCGACACUUUUAUAAUGGAGCAGCGGCCUGUUUGGCGCGAAAUCAAUUCCACGAGUACAUACGCCGCCGCGUAGUUUCCCUUCGGGAUAAGUGAAUCGGAAGCACUAUCCAUCUAGAUUGACAGACAGGUGCGAUAGACGACGACAACAACACUCGCUCUAUAUACAGAUUUAACUCACUGUGUAGUUUAGAUUAGUCGUUUAUUGUGCGUUCCUAGCGAAUUUUUGGCCCGACCUCGUCCGGAUUUUCGAUCGCGUCGCUGCUUAUUGACCAGUUGAAUCUAGUAGUUGUCAAAGACUUGACAGAGCAAGUACUUCUUCAAUAAGGUUCGGGCACUAUUCACGCUAUUCGCCGGAGCAGCUUGAUGUACCGGAUGUCUGCGAGAUAAA